AGAGACGAAAGACGUGUUCAAAAAUGAUUGUGAUUAUUUGUGUUAGUGAAAAUUCAACUGAAAAUGGUGUGUCAGUGUGAAUGUGGCGUUUAUAUUCAAUCUUAAAAACCUAAACCUGGUUUCCCCGCCAUGAAGAGAGAGUUUUGACUGUAGAUCGUGGAACAAACUGGCUGGAACAACUUGAAGAUGGGGAAACAAUCCUACGAAGCUGGGAUGCCGUGCAGCCAUGGAAGAUUCUUCUGGAUCACGGACCUAAAGGAUCCAGGCCAUCGAAGCGACAGCGACAGCCCCAGGUA